rnacentral:rRNA from 1 species
GUUGAUCCUGCCGGAGGCCACUGCUAUCAGAGCUCGAUUAAGCCAUGCGAGUCGAGAGGUGCAAGACCUCGGCAUACUGCUCAGUAACACGUGGACAAUCUAACCUACGGAAGGGGAUAACCCCGGGAAACUGGGGAUAAUACCCUAUAGACUAUGGAUGCUGGAAUGCUCUGUAGCCGAAAGGUCCGCCGCCGUAGGAUGGGUCUGCGGCCGAUUAGGUUGUUGUUGGGGUAACGGCCCAACGAGCCUGUAAUCGGUACGGGUUGUGGGAGCAAGAGCCCGGAGAUGGAUUCUGAGACACGAAUCCAGGCCCUACGGGGCGCAGCAGGCGCGAAAACUUUACAAUGCGGGAAACCGUGAUAAGGGAACUCUGAGUGCCCGUUAAAUCGGGCUGUCCAUCAGUUUAAAAAGCUGGUGAAGAAAGGGCCGGGCAAGACCGGUGCCAGCCGCCGCGGUAAUACCGGCGGCUCGAGUGGUGGCCACUAUUACUGGGCUUAAAGCGUUCGUAGCUGGUUUGUUAAGUCUCUGGGGAAAUCUUCCGGCUUAACCGGAAGGCGUCUCAGGGAUACUGGCAGACUAGGGACCGGAAGAGGUGAGAGGUACUCCAGGGGUAGGAGUGAAAUCCUGUAAUCCUUGGGGGACCACCUGUGGCGAAGGCGUCUCACCAGGACGGCUCCGACAGUGAGGGACGAAAGCUGGGGGAGCAAACCGGAUUAGAUACCCGGGUAGUCCCAGCCGUAAACGAUGUGCGUUAGGUGUAUCGGUGACCACGAGUCACCGAGGUGCCGAAGAGAAAUCGUGAAACGUACCGCCUGGGAAGUACGGUCGCAAGGCUGAAACUUAAAGGAAUUGGCGGGGGAGCACCACAAC